ensembl:lncRNA
UUUGUAGAUGCCCAAGCUGCCAACGAGUCAGGUAUGUUUUCCCAUAGACAUAUUUCCUCUGUCCCGAUAUGAGAGUAAUGGAGAGUUGCCCGCUCCAAUAUGGCGGCGACGUUGACGUGCGGUCGAGCGGCCAAUGAGGCGUCUAGCUAUUUAUAUGUCUAUGGUCGUGACUAGCUAGUUCGUUUCCAUAACGAUGCAUCGUACUAUGGUGGUUAAUCAGCGAGUUACGUCGUUGUACGGGAAACGCACCCAUGGGCAGCUGCCAGGUUCGCCCGUGACAAAAACCGCUACGAGUUUAUUUGUAUCUUUCUUUACUGCGCGCCUCUGAUCUGCACGCGCUUCUGCACGCAUAAUUUAAAAAUUAACGGUCAUUCGUUUUACUGACUGACUAGCAUUCCUUCGUUGAUCUCUUUAUUGAAGAAAUACGUAUAAUUAAUUUAUACGAGAGUAAAUAUUGUGAUUUCAGAGAGAUUUGACACGUGUAAUUGAAGAGAACACAUUAUCCGAUUUUUUUUUUCUGACGAGAGAAGCACGUCAUCGUUGAUUCAGUGGUCACCGUAGCCACCAGAUCCAGUCUGUAUCCAAGUCAGAGGGUCACCGCAGUCACCCGGAUCCAGUACGUAUCCAGCCCAGAUGGUGGAUCAACACCUAGAAAGGACCUCUACAGCCCUGAAAGACAGCAGAGACCAGGACAACUAGAGCCCCAGAGACAGAUCCCCUGUAAAGACCUUGUCUCAGACGACCACUGGGACAAGACCACAGGAAACAGACGAUUCUUCUGCACAAUCUGACUUUGCUGCAGCCUGGAAUUGAACUGCUGGUUUUGUCUGGUCAGAGGAAAACUGGCCCCCCGACUGAGCCUGGUUUCUCCCAAGGUUUUUUCUCCAUUCUGUCACCGAUGGAGUUUUGGUUCCUUGCCGCUGUCGCUUCUGGCUUGCUUAGUUGGGGACACUUCAUUUACAGCGAUAUCGUUGAUUGUAAAUUAUUGCACAGAUACUAUUUAAACUGAACUGAGCUGCAUGAUGACAUCACUGAAUUCAAUGAUGAACUGCCUUUAACUGUCAUUUUGCAUUAUUGACACACUGUUUUCCUAAUUAAUGUUGUGCAGCUGCUUUGACGCAAUCUUUUUUGUUUAAAGGGGCGGUCAUACUAGACUUUGAACGUGCAAAUUUUUUUCUGACACUGCUGCGAAUAUGGGCGGGAGCAGGUUAACGGUCUCCCCUCAGUUAUCACAACAUGGAUUAAUGUGCUUGUACUGUGCCUUUUGCGACGGCGUCGAAAGCAUUUUAUUGUGUUUUACUCUCUGUCUGUCUCUCUCUCUAUAAUACAUACACACUACGCAAUAAAAAAUUAUAAAAUAUGUCUUCAUUCAAAUGUACAUCUGUUCCUGUUUCCAUUGACACUGCGAACCAUGAAGCUUUUUUUUAUUUUUUUAUAAUCUUUUAAAGAUGUAUUAUAUAAAAUAGGAUGCUGCGCUACGGCUAAAAUUAGCGCUUCCUUAAUUUUUGAAUUUCUGUACAGAGAGGUCACGCAGUGACGUAUUGAUAUUGUACUGAUCCCCCGUCUUCACGUGAUGCGAAUUCGCAGGUCAGAGUUCACCAAACUUGAACUUUGGAACGCAGCAAAAUGCGAAACUUGCGUUUCCGGUCUGACGCAUUCGCAUGCGUAUGAAUGGAAGUCAAUGGAACGAAAAGUGCAGUGUGACCGCCCCUUAAAGCGCUAUAUAAAUAAAGGUGACUUGACUUGACGUUGAUAUUUGGUUAGAAUAGGUUGCAACGUCGGGUGACCAAAAUUACAUUUCAAGCCAAUGGUAUACUUCACUUGCUGCGUGCCGUUCCACACAGUUUUUAUACUCAAAGCAGUGGCGGCUCGUGGGUUUUAAAAUAGAGGAGGCACCAGUAGCGGCUCGAGGAGGCACACUAAUUGUAUUGGUCUGGGAUCCCUGCCGGUUAUUAUUAUUAUUUGCUUAACUGCUUUAAAAUGGCUUUUUGGUUGCUUUUAGUCAGAAAACGUAAAGAAAAUGACACACAUACAACAAGAUAAUAUAAUAUCACUUACCUGUUCUAUCACUUGAAGCAAACAUCCAUCCCUUCUUUAAAGUCUGUGUUAAAAGAGAGCUGCCUGUUGUGCCAUUUAAAUAAGCCGAUUGCUGUAUUCUAUAUCCAGCUUAG